UGCGUAGGCGGAUCAAUAAGUCAGUGGUGAAAUCUCUCGGCUCAACCGGGAAACUGCCAUUGAUACUGUUGAUCUUGAGUUCGGUUGAGGUAGGCGGAAUGUGUAAUGUAGCGGUGAAAUGCUUAGAUAUUACACAGAACACCAAUUGCGUAGGCAGCUUACUAGACCGACACUGACGCUGAGGCACAAAAGCGUGGGGAGCGAACAGGAUUAGAUACCCUGGUAGUC
rnacentral:rRNA from 1 species